rnacentral:rRNA from 1 species
UACGUAGGGUCCAAGCGUUAUCCGGAAUCACUGGGCGUAAAGCGUGCGUAGGUGGAUUGUUAAGUGCGGUGCGAAAUCCUGUGGCUCAACCAUAUGGACUGUAUCGCAUACUGGCAAUCUAGAGGACAUGAGAGGCAAGUGGAAUUACUGGUUGUAGCAGUGAAAUGCGUAGAGAUCAGUAGGAACACCAAUGGCGAAAGGCAGCUUGCUGGCAUGUAUCUGACGCUAAAGGCACGAAAGCGUGGGGAGCAACAGG